rnacentral:lncRNA from 1 species
UGAGAGUUCGAGCUGUUACAAUUGGUAUCAAAGCCCACGUUCCUCGGAACUAUCCCUUAUAUCAUGAGGCUUAGAACUCUUAUGAGAUUUAGAGUUAAAAAGAAUUAGAUAAUACACACCUUAGGAGAUGUUUUAGAACUUCUUCCAAAACAUCUGCCAAUAUAAAGAAGUAGGAUCAUAGUUCUAAAGUUCGAAAAAGUAGAAGUUAAGAGGGUUGGAAUGUAAUAAAUCUAGAAAUCAAAUAAUUAGGGCUUCACUCUGAUGCCAACUGGAGAUGGUGAAUAAAUAAAACUAUACAAAGUUUUAACUUCUACUGACAAGUUGAUCCAAUAAAAGUAAGAGAACAAAAUAAGAAUAUAGAGUGUCACUUAUUUCUAGAAUUU